rnacentral:rRNA from 1 species
GUGGGGAAUUUUGGACAAUGGGCGCAAGCCUGAUCCAGCAAUGCCGCGUGCAGGAAGAAGGCCUUUUGGUUGUAAAGCACUUUAAGCGAGGAGGAGGCUACCGAGAUUAAUACUCUUGGAUAGUGGACGUUACUCGCAGAAUAAGCACCGGCUAACUCUGUGCCAGCAGCCGCGGUAAUACAGAGGGUGCAAGCGUUAAUCGGAUUUACUGGGCGUAAAGCGCGCGCAGGUGGCCAAUUAAGUCAAAUGUGAAAUCCCCGAGCUUAACUUGGGAAUUGCAGUCGAUACUGGUUGGCUAGAGUAUGGGAGAGGAUGGUAGAAUUCCAGGUGUAGCGGUGAAAUGCGUAGAGAUCUGGAGGAAUACCGAUGGCGAAGGCAGCCAUCUGGCCUAAUACUGACACUGAGGUGCGAAAGCAUGGGGAGCAAACAGGAUUAGAUACCCCUGUAGUCC